rnacentral:rRNA from 4 species
CCGUGCGAAGGUAGCACAAUCACUUGUCUCUUAAAUCGGGACCUGUAUGAAUGGCAUCACGAGGAUUCAACUGUCUCCCCUCAUUAAUCAGUGAAACUAAUCUCCCUGUGAAAAAGCAGGGCUACUUAUACAAGACGAGAAGACCCUAUGGAGCUUAAAACUAAUAACAUUUGCUCUACUUUAUCUAGUAACCAUCCAGCAUUAUGCUUAUACGUUUUCGGUUGGGGUGACCCUGGAAAAAAGCCUAACUUCCAUGCUGGCAAAUACAAGAACCUCAAUUCUACAAAUCAAUAUAUUGACACAAUUGACCCAAGCACUUGAUCAACGAACCAAGUUACCCUAGGGAUAACAGCGCUAUCCACUUCAAGAGUACAUAUCAACAAGUGGGCUUACGACCUCGAUG